AGAGCGAACGCUGGCGGCAGGCCUAACACAUGCAAGUCGAGCGCGUGUAGCAAUACACGAGCGGCAGACGGGAGAGUAACACGUGGGAACGCGCCCUUCGGUUCGGAAUAACUCAGGGAAACUUGAGCUAAUACCGGAUACGCCCUUACGGGGAAAGAUUUAUUGCCGAAGGAACGGCCCGCGUCCGAUUAGCUAGUUGGUGAGGUAACGGCUCACCAAGGCGACGAUCGGUAGCUGGUCUGAGAGGAUGACCAGCCUCACUGGGACUGAGACACGGCCCAGACUCCUACGGGAGGCAGCAGUGGGGAAUCUUGCGCAAUGGGCGAAAGCCUGACGCAGCGACGCCGCGUGGGGGAUGAAGGCCUUCGGGUUGUAAACCCCUUUCAGCAGGGACGAAGCGAAAGUGACGGUACCUGCAGAAGAAGCGCCGGCUAACUACGUGCCAGCAGCCGC
rnacentral:rRNA from 1 species